UACAGAGGGGGCAAGCGUUGUUCGGAAUUACUGGGCGUAAAGGGCGCGUAGGCGGCCGCCUAAGUCAGACGUGAAAUCCCUCGGCUCAACCGGGGAACUGCGUCUGAUACUGGGUGGCUUGAAUUCGGGAGAGGGAUGCGGAAUUCCAGGUGUAGCGGUGAAAUGCGUAGAUAUCUGGAGGAACACCGGUGGCGAAGGCGGCAUCCUGGACCGAGAUUGACGCUGAGGCGCGAAAGCUAGGGUAGCAAACGGG
rnacentral:rRNA from 1 species